AACACUAUUAACCGAACUCCGCUCAGAAUCGUUUUUCGUUAGCGACGGGUAUUCGUUGCGUACAUACACUAAAUUUCCCUUCUAUCUUUCUAAUUUCGUAUAGAAAUUUGUUUCUGUUUAUAAUAAUCAAGUUUUCGGCCAGAAUACUAUUUCUUAUUCCAUAUUGUCUAAUUGUUUCUAUCAUGAAUUUUAUGGGCGGUUUUCAACAGAAAAUUUGGUUUAAUUGGUGCAUCGAGGAAGUAAUUUUUCCAUUUUCUUUGUAAUGCGUAUCUAUAGUAAUAUAAAAAGUAAACGCCGUAGGAAAAACGAAAAUAUUAAAUGUGUGCAAUGUAUUAUCAUGGCGAAUUUUGAGUUAUUUAAAGCUAUUUUAAUUUGUUGAAUGUUGUUUUGACUUACAUAGAUAACAUUUUGUUGACUCAUUACGAACUAUACAAAAAUUAUAUACAAAGUUCCUUAUGAGUUGUUUUCAUGAUGGUAUAAAGGUAUCGUAAAUCCGAAAAAAACAAUUGUUUUGUUUAAGAGUUCAAAUUUUGACUAGUUAUUUUUUGAAUUAUGAAAAUUCACUUUUUAGCCUCGUAAAAAUGCUGAAAAUUUUGAUGAAAUCGUG